GACGAACGCUGGCGGCGUGCUUAACACAUGCAAGUCGAGCGGUAAGGCCCUUCGGGGUACGACGAGCGGCGAACGGGUGAGUAACACGUGGGUGACCUGCCUCUAGCUCUGGGAUAAGCCUGGGAAACUGGGUCUAAUACCGGAUAUGACUCCACGGCGCAUGUUGUGGGGUGGAAAGCCUUGUGUGGCUAGAGAUGGGCCCGCGGCCUAUCAGCUUGUUGGUGGGGUGAUGGCCUACCAAGGCGACGACGGGUAGCCGGCCUGAGAGGGCGACCGGCCACACUGGGACUGAGACACGGCCCAGACUCCUACGGGAGGCAGCAGUGGGGAAUCUUGCGCAAUGGGCGAAAGCCUGACGCAGCGACGCCGCGUG
rnacentral:rRNA from 1 species